UGUAGAGGAUGCUUCUGGGCAGCGGCCGGUCUAAGUUCCUUUGGAACAGGACGUCAUAGAGGGUGAGAAUCCCGUAUGCGACCGGUUGGCACCCGUCACGUAGCUCCUUCGACGAGUCGAGUUGUUUGGGAAUGCAGCUCUAAAUGGGAGGUAAAUUUCUUCUAAAGCUAAAUACCGGCCAGAGACCGAUAGCGCACAAGUAGAGUGAUCGAAAGAUGAAAAGCACUUUGGAAAGAGAGUUAAAAAGCACGUGAAAUUGUUGAAAGGGAAGGGCAUGCAACCAGACUUGUCGGCGGUGUUCCGCCGGUCUUCUGACCGGUCUACUCGCCGCCGGCAGGCCAGCAUCACUUGGGCGCGCCGGAUAAAGGCGCGAGGAAUGUAGCCCCUCGGGGUGUUAUAGCCUCGCGUACAAUACGGCGCCGCCCGAGUGAGGUCCGCGCUUCGGCUAGGAUGCUGGCGUAAUGGUUGUUUGCCGCCCGUCUUGAAACACGGACCAAGGAGUCUAACAUCUAUGCGAGUGUUCGGGUGUCAAACCCCUACGCGGAAUGAAAGUGAACGGAGGUGGGAAGCGCAAGCUGCACCAUCGACCGAUCCUGAUGUCUUCGGAUGGAUUUGAGUAAGAGCAUAGCUGUUGGGACCCGAAAGAUGGUGAACUAUGCCUGAAUAGGGUGAAGCCAGAGGAAACUCUGGUGGAGGCUCGCAGCGGUUUCUGAACGUGCAAAUCG
rnacentral:rRNA from 1 species